GUGAGGAAUAUUGGACAAUGGGCGCAAGCCUGAUCCAGCCAUGCCGCGUGCAGGAAGACGCAUCUAUGGUGUGUAAACUGCUUUUGUACGGGAAGAAACACUCCCUCGUGAGGGAGCUUGACGGUACCGUAAGAAUAAGGAUCGGCUAACUCCGUGCCAGCAGCCGCGGUAAUACGGAGGAUCCAAGCGUUAUCCGGACUCCUUGGGUUUAAAGGGUCCGUAGUCGGUUUAAUAAGUCAGUGGUGAAAGCCCAUCGCUCAACGAUGGAACAGCCAUUGAUACUGUUAGACUUGAAUUACAAAGAAGUAACUAGAAUAUGUAGUGUAGCGGUGAAAUGCUUAGAUAUUACAUGGAAUACCAAUUGCGAAGGCAGGUUACUACUUGUGGAUUGACGCUGAUGGACGAAAGCGUGGGGAGCGAACAGGAUUAGAAACCCGGGUAGUCC
rnacentral:rRNA from 1 species